rnacentral:rRNA from 1 species
AACGAACGCUGGCGGCAGGCCUAACACAUGCAAGUCGAGCGAAGCCUUCGGGCUUAGCGGCGGACGGGUGAGUAACGCGUGGGAACGUGCCCUUUGGUACGGAAUAGCCCCGGGAAACUGGGAGUAAUACCGUAUGUGGUCGAGAGACGAAAGAUUUAUCGCCAAAGGAUCGGCCCGCGUUGGAGUAGGUAGUUGGGGGGGUAAUGGCCUACCAUGCCGACGAUCCAUAGCUGGUUUGAGAGGAUGAUCAGCCAAACUGGGACUGAAGACACGGCCCAGACUCCUACGGGAGGCAGCAGUGGGGAAUCUUAGACAAUGGGGGAAACCCUGAUCUAGCCACGCCGCGUGAUCGAUGAAGGCCUUAGGGUUGUAAAGAUCUUUCAGUGGGGAAGAUAAUGACUGUACCCACAGAAGAAGCCCCGGCUAACUCCGUGCCAGCAGCCGCCGCAGUAA